rnacentral:lncRNA from 1 species
GUGAUAAAAAAUGGGCAGUCAAAAAGGGUAAAUGCUACGAGCAUGGUAAAUUUCAAACACUUUCCUAGUGUUUUACAUUAUGACUUACCAUUGGCAUGACAAAGAUAUGUGGGCCUUUUUAGAGUUCUGAAGCGGGUAAGCCGAUGGGCCUACAAAUUAGAGUAGACGACAAUACUCAAGGUUAACCCAGUGUUUAAUUUAGGGAUGCUUAAGCCUAUUUUACAGAUCAAGGGGA